rnacentral:rRNA from 1 species
UACAGAGGGUGCAAGCGUUAAUCGGAAUUACUGGGCGUAAAGCGUAUGUAGGUGGUUUGUUAAGUCAGGUGUGAAAUCCCUGGGCUCAACCUAGGAAUUGCAUUUGAUACUGGAAAGCUUGAGUGCGGUAGAGGGUAGUGGAACUCCCGGUGUAGCGGUGAAAUGCGUAGAUAUCGGGAAGAACACCAGUGGCGAAGGCGGCUACCUGGACUGACACUGACACUGAGAUACGAAAGCGUGGGGAGCAAACAGGAUUAGAAACCCCAGUAGUCC